GCAGCAGCCACGGUAAUACAGAGGGUGCGAGCGUUAAUCGGAUUUACUGGGCGUAAAGCGUGCGUAGGCGGCUUCUUAAGUCGGAUGUGAAAUCCCUGAGCUUAACUUAGGAAUUGCAUUCGAUACUGGGAAGCUAGAGUAUGGGAGAGGAUGGUAGAAUUCCAGGUGUAGCGGUGAAAUGCGUAGAGAUCUGGAGGAAUACCGAUGGCGAAGGCAGCCAUCUGGCCUAAUACUGACGCUGAGGUACGAAAGCAUGGGGAGCAAACAGGAUUAGAUACCCCCGUAGUCACUGUCUCUUAUAC
rnacentral:rRNA from 1 species